AGAACGAACGCUGGCGGCAUGCCUAACACAUGCAAGUCGAACGAGACCUUCGGGUCUAGUGGCGCACGGGUGCGUAACGCGUGGGAAUCUGCCCUUCGGUUCGGAAUAACUCAGGGAAACUUGAGCUAAUACCGGAUAAUGACUUCGGUCCAAAGAUUCAUCGCCGAGGGAUGAGCCCGCGUAGGAUUAGCUUGUUGGUGAGGUAAAGGCUCACCAAGGCGACGAUCCUUAGCUGGUCUGAGAGGAUGAUCAGCCACACUGGGACUGAGACACGGCCCAGACUCCUACGGGAGGCAGCAGUGGGGAAUAUUGGACAAUGGGCGAAAGCCUGAUCCAGCAAUGCCGCGUGAGUGAUGAAGGCCCUAGGUUGUAAAGCUCUUUUAACCCGGGAUGAUAAUGACAGUACCGGAGAAUAAGCCCCGGCUAACUCCGCGCCAGCAGCCGC
rnacentral:rRNA from 1 species